ensembl:lncRNA
CAAACAUCCAGAAGCAUCAGAAGGGAGUCUUUCUUCCUGCAUCUAUGUGGAUGGGUUUCGUCCCUUUGAAGAUCUUGCGAGCCCCUUGAAGGCAGGAGGAAGAAAUUUUGCUGCAAAGAAUACCAAUAGAGGCUGGAAUGUUUUUGUUGGCAUUUGAAGAGAACUUAUCUUCCUUCCUAAGGCCAUAAUCAUGAUGGUGUGAUCACUCACCUAGAGUCAGACAUCCUGGAAUGUGAAGUCAAGUGGGCCUUAGAAAGCAUCACUAUGAACAAAGCUGCUGGAGGUGAUGGAAUUCCAGAUGAGCUAUUUCAAAUCCUGAAAGACGAUGCUGUGAAAGUGCUACACUCAAUAUGACAGCAAAUUUGGAAAACUCAGCAGUGGCCACAGGACUGGAAAAGGUCAGUUUUCAUUCCAAUCCCAAAGAAAGGCAAUGCCAAAGAAUUCUCCAACUACCACACAAUUGCACUCAUCUUACAAAAUGCUCAAAAUUCUCCAAGCCAGGGUUCAGUAAUAUGUGAACCGUGAAUUUCCAGAUGUUCAAG